CAGCAGCCACGGUAAAACGGAGGGUGCAAGCGUUAUCCGGAUUCACUGGGUUUAAAGGGUGCGUAGGCGGAUCUGUAAGUCCGUGGUGAAAUCUCCAGGCUUAACCUGGAAACUGCCAUGGAUACUAUAGAUCUUGAAUGUUGUGGAGGUUAGCGGAAUAUGUCAUGUAGCGGUGAAAUGCAUAGAUAUGACAUAGAACACCAAUUGCGAAGGCAGCUGGCUACACAAAUAUUGACGCUGAGGCACGAAAGCGUGGGGAUCAAACAGGAUUAGAUACCCGAGUAGUCCCUGUCUCUUAUAC
rnacentral:rRNA from 1 species